UACGUAGGGUGCAAGCGUUAAUCGGAAUACUGGGCGUAAGGCGUGCGCAGGCGGUGAUGUAAGACAGGUGUGAAAUCCCCGGGCUUAACCUGGGAACUGCAUUUGUGACUGCAUCGCUGGAGUGCGGCAGAGGGGGAUGGAAUUCCGCGUGUAGCAGUGAAAUGCGUAGAUAUGCGGAGGAACACCGAUGGCGAAGGCAAUCCCCUGGGCCUGCACUGACGCUCAUGCACGAAAGCGUGGGGAGCAAACAGG
rnacentral:rRNA from 1 species